rnacentral:lncRNA from 1 species
AGAGAGGUUUUGAAGCGACAGAAAGUGUGGUCUGAGGAGGAGUGAGAGAACCAGAAUGGAGGCUGACGUGGUGCUAUCAAAAGGUCAAGUGAAGAAAGAUAACUUUAUUAGCAGAGCGGCUUUCAAACUCCACUGCUAGAAAUACAAAAGAUGAUGGAAAGGCCAAGCAGAAACAAGAGAAGGGCUGUUCCCUACCUUCUGGGCUUUCACCAACAUCUGGAAAAAGACAGAGAAGCCUCUUGCAGAGAGAAGAAUCUGUUCCUUCCAACAGCUGACUUGGUCACAAGAGGCGUGCUCAAGGUACCAGCGUUGUGGCUGGCUCACCUUCUUCACAAUCACCUGCAGCAGCGAAGAGAGACACGCGUGCU